rnacentral:miRNA from 1 species
AGGACCGAUCCGAUCCCCAGGA